rnacentral:lncRNA from 1 species
ACUCAGUGACCUCUGCUCCUGUGGAUUGAGUCUUGUUAACUUUAAAAUCUGCGUCCAGUUCAACAAAGACGACAGACUACUAGUCAUACAGCAAGUGGCUCUUUCACCUGCAUCUGUUCAUCCUGUCGCAUUAAUGGUGAAGACAGCUGUCCCCAUUAUGCUUCAGUGGGGUGAAGUAUAGUGAGAAC